rnacentral:rRNA from 1 species
UACGGGGGGGGCAAGCGUUGUUCGGAAUUACUGGGCGUAGAGGGCGCGUAGGCGGUUCGCUAAGUUGAAUGUGAAAACUCUGGGCUUAACCCAGAGCCUGCAUUCAAUACUGGCGGGCUAGAGUUCUGGAGGGGAUAGCGGAAUUCCUGGUGUAGCGGUGAAAUGCGUAGAUAUCAGGAGGAACACCGGUGGCGAAGGCGGCUAUCUGGACAGAGUCUGACGCUGAGGCGCGAAAGCUAGGGGAGCAAACAGG